CAAUAGCGUAUAUUAAAGUUGUUGCAGUUAAAAAGCUCGUAGUUGGAUUUCUGGUAGGAGUGACCGUUCCGAACUUGAUUGUUCGUGUAUUGUGGUUUCUCCAGCCAUCCUUGUGGAGAACUUUUCUUGCAUUAAUUUGUAGGGAUUGGGACCCGCAUCGUUUACUGUGAAAAAAUUAGAGUGUUUAAAGCAGGCAAUCGCUUGAAUACAUUAGCAUGGAAUAAUAAGAUAGGACUUUGGUACUAUUUUGUUGGUUUGCAUACCAAAUUAAUGAUCAACAGGAACAGUUUGAGGAUAUUCGUAUGAACAUGUCAGAGGUGAAAUUCUUGGAUUUUGAUCAGACGAACUACUGCGAAAGCAUUUAGCAAGGAUGUUUUCAUUAA
rnacentral:rRNA from 1 species